GGGCCUGUAGCUCAGUUGGUAGAGCAGUUGACUCUUAAUCAAUUGGCCGAAAGUUCGAGUCUUUCCAGGCCCACCA
rnacentral:tRNA from 1 species